GUCUCCGUGGCGCAACGAAUAGCGCGUCGGACUUCUAAUUCGGAGGCUGUGGGUUCGAAUCCCACCGGAGAUG
rnacentral:tRNA from 1 species